CCUACGGGUGGCUGCAGUGAGGAAUAUUGGUCAAUGGGCGUAAGCCUGAACCAGCCAAGUCGCGUGAGGGAUGAAGGUUCUAUGGAUCGUAAACCUCUUUUAUAAGGGAAUAAAGUGCGGGACGUGUCCCGUUUUGUAUGUACCUUAUGAAUAAGGAUCGGCUAACUCCGUGCCAGCAGACGCGGUAAUACGGAGGAUCGGAGGGUUAUCCGGAUUUCUUGGGUUUAAAGGGUGCGUAGGCGGCCUUUUAAGUCAGGGGUAGAAGUCUGUGGGUCAACCAUAGAAUUGCUGUUGAAACUGGGAGGCGUGAGGGUGCUUGAGGCAAGCGGAAUGGGUGGGGUAGCGGUGAAAUGCAUAGAUAGCACGCAGAA
rnacentral:rRNA from 1 species